CAGUCGAACGAUGAAGCCCUUAGGGGUGGAUUAGUGGCGAACGGGUGAGUAACACGUGGGCAAUCUGCCCUUCACUCUGGGACAAGCCCUGGAAACGGGGUCUAAUACCGGAUAACACUCUGUCCCGCAUGGGACGGGGUUAAAAGCUCCGGCGGUGAAGGAUGAGCCCGCGGCCUAUCAGCUUGUUGGUGGGGUAAUGGCCUACCAAGGCGACGACGGGUAGCCGGCCUGAGAGGGCGACCGGCCACACUGGGACUGAGACACGGCCCAGACUCCUACGGGAGGCAGCAGUGGGGAAUAUUGCACAAUGGGCGAAAGCCUGAUGCAGCGACGCCGCGUGAGGGAUGACGGCCUUCGGGUUGUAAACCUCUUUCAGCAGGGAAGAAGCGAAAGUGACGGUACCUGCAGAAGAAGCGCCGGCUAACUACGUGCCAGCAGCCGCGGUAAUACGUAGGGCGCAAGCGUUGUCCGGAAUUAUUGGGCGUAAAGAGCUCGUAGGCGGCUUGUCACGUCGGAUGUGAAAGCCCGGGGCUUAACCCCGGGUCUGCAUUCGAUACGGGCUAGCUAGAGUGUGGUAGGGGAGAUCGGAAUUCCUGGUGUAGCGGUGAAAUGCGCAGAUAUCAGGAGGAACACCGGUGGCGAAGGCGGAUCUCUGGGCCAUUACUGACGCUGAGGAGCGAAAGCGUGGGGAGCGAACAGGAUUAGAUACCCUGGUAGUCCACGCCGUAACGUUGGGAACUAGGUGUUGGCGACAUUCCACGUCGUCGGUGCCGCAGCUAACGCAUUAAGUUCCCCGCCUGG
rnacentral:rRNA from 2 species